GAAUUCUCCUCUACUCAUGUUUAAUGUAUAAAAGAUAUUUGUGUUGUGGGUAUCAGAGGAUUUCAAGAAAUGACCGAUAAGAUCCAGAUCAAUACUGAUUGCAGAAGUCGCAAGAUUGACGAUCUUAAGCACUGUCCAUAUGCUGAGAUUUGCUGGUACUUUACUGAAUCUUGGGAGCAAUUUAGGAUUAAUGGAAGAGUUGAUGUUAUUGAUGGGUCUUGUUCAGACUUGAUGAAGCUUCAGG